GUGUUUGCUUUGGCAGCACAUAUGCUAAAAUUGGAAUGAUUCAGAGAAGAUUAGCAUGGCCCCUGUGCGAGGAUGACAUGCAAAUUUAUGAAGUGUUCCAUGUUUUU
ensembl:snRNA U6 U6 spliceosomal RNA